UCUAAUAUGGCAGAUUAGUGCAAUGAAUUUAAGAUUCAUAUAUAAAGAUUAAACUUUUUUUAGAA
rnacentral:tRNA from 1 species